AGUGCACCAGUGGGGUCCCUCAGCCUGGUCUGCACCUUCUCGCAAUCUGAGACCCCUCAGGGGAUGUUAGAGGGCCAUUUUCAGUCUGAUCCCGCAGGCCAGGCUGAGGGACCCCACUGGUGCACG
rnacentral:pre_miRNA from 1 species